rnacentral:rRNA from 1 species
UACGGGAGGCAGCAGUGGGGAAUAUUGCACAAUGGGCGAAAGCCUGAUGCAGCUAUGCCGCGUGUAUGAAGAAGGCCUUAGGGUUGUAAAGUACUUUCAUCGGGGAGGAAAAAACAAAACUAAUAAUUUUAUUUCUUGACGUUACCCGAAAAAGAAGCACCGGCUAACUCCGUGCCAGCAGCCGCGGUAAUACGGAGGGUGCUAGCGUUAAUCAGAAUUACUGGGCGUAAAGAGCACGUAGGUGGUUUUUUUAAAGUCAGAUGUGAAAUCCCUGGGCUUUAACCUGGAACUGCAUUUUGAAACUGAAAUACUAGAGUAUCGUAGAGGGAGGUAGAAUUCUAGGUGUAGCGGUGAAAUGCGUAGAUAUCUGGAGGAAUACCUGUGGCGAAAGCGGCCUCCUAAACGAAUACUGACACUGAGGGUGCGAAAGCGUGGGGAGCAAACAGGGAUUUAGAUACC